GUUACUGACGCUGAAGCUCGAAGGCGCGGGUAUCGAACAGGAUUAGAUACCCUGGUAGUCCGCGCGGUAAACGAUGGAUGCCCGCUGUUGGCUUGUAUUAGUCAGCGGCCAAGCGAAAGCAUUAAGCAUCCCACCUGGGGAGUACGCCGGCAACGGUGAAACUCAAAGGAAUUGACGGGGGCCCGCACAAGCGGAGGAACAUGUGGUUUAAUUCGAUGAUACGCGAGGAACCUUACCCGGGCUUGAACUGCAGCGGAACGAUCCAGAGAUGGUGAGGCCCUUCGGGGCUGCUGCGGAGGUGCUGCAUGGUUGUCGUCAGCUCGUGCCGUGAGGUGUCGGCUUAAGUGCCAUGACGAGCGCAACCCCUGUCCCCAGUUGCCAUCACUUCGGGUGGGCACUCUGUGGAUACUGCCACCGUAAGGUGCGAGGAAGGUGGGGAUGACGUCAAAUCAGCACGGCCCUUACGUCCGGGGCUACACACGUGUUACAAUGGCGCGUACAGAGGGUUGGCGUCCGGCAACGUCCGUCUAAUCCCAAAAACGCGUCUCAGUUCGGAUUGGGGUCUGCAACCCGACCCCAUGAAGCUGGAUUCGCUAGUAAU
rnacentral:rRNA from 1 species